rnacentral:sRNA from 1 species
GCCAUUUUUGUGGUGUCCACCAUCUUUCACUGCCACCAGCGCCUGGCUCUGGUGCCUGCGCCCUGGGCAUACUCAGCCCGUGUGGUCCUGGCCCCCAGACACCUCCCCCAGGAGGGCCUGUUCACUAUCAACUCCAAGGGCCGCCUGGGGAACCAGAUGGGUGGGUACGCCACGCUGUACGCCCUGGCCAAGAUGAACGGGCGGCCCGCCUUCAUCCCGGCCCAGAUGCACAGCACCCUGGCCCCCAUCUUCAGAAUCACCCUGCCGGUGCUGCACAGUGCCACGGCCAGCAGGAUCCCCUGGCAGAACUACCACCUGAACGACUGGAUGGAGGAGGAGUACCGCCACAUCCCGGGGCGCUAUGUCCGCCUCACGGGCUACCCCUGCUCCUGGACCUUCUACCACCACCUCCGCCACAAGAUCCUCCAGGAGUUCACCCUGCACGACCACGUGCGGGAGGAGGCCCAGAAGUUCCUGCGGGGCCUGCAGGCCAAGUGGGCAGGGCAGGCGACCUUCGUGGGGGUCCAUGUGCGUCGGGGGGACUAUGUCCGUGUCAUGCCGCGCGUAUGGAAGGGGGUGCUGGCCGACCGGGGCUACCUGCAGCGGGCCCUGGACUGGUUCCGGGCCCGCUGCCGCCUCCCGGUCUUUGUGGUCACCAGCGAUGAUAUGGCCUGGUGCCGGCAGAGCAUCAACAGCUCUCUUGGGGACGUGGUGUUCGCUGGCAAUGGCCUCCAGGGCUCACCUGCCAAAGACUUUGCGCUGCUCACACAGUGCAACCACACCAUCAUCACCGUGGGCACCUUCGGGGUCUGGGCCGCGUACCUCGCGGGCGGGGACACCGUCUACCUGGCCAACUUCACCCUGCCCAACUCCCCUUUCGACGUGGUCUUUAGGCCGCAAGCGGCCUUCCUGCCAGAGUGGGUGGGCCUUGCAGCUGACCUU